rnacentral:rRNA from 1 species
ACGUCGUGAGACAGUUCGGUCCCUAUCCGUCGCGGGCGUAGGAAAUUUGAGAGGAGCUGUCCUUAGUACGAGAGGACCGGGAUGGACUGACCUCUGGUGUACCAGUUGUUCCGCCAGGAGCACAGCUGGGUAGCUAAGUCGGGAAUGGAUAAACGCUGAAAGCAUCUAAGCGUGAAGCCCACCUCAAGAUGAGAUUUCCCAUAGCAUAAGCUAGUAAGAUCCCUUGAAGAACACAAGGUUGAUAGGUCGGGGGUGUAAGCAUGGUAACAUGUUCAGCUGACCGAUACUAAUAGAUCGAGGGCUUGACCAA